UACGUAGGGUGCGAGCGUUAAUCGGAAUUACUGGGCGUAAAGCGUGCGCAGGCGGUUGUGUAAGACAGAUGUGAAAUCCCCGGGCUCAACCCUGGGAACUGCAUUUGUGACUGCACAGCUGGAGUGCGGCAGAGGGGAUGGAAUUCCGCGUGUAGCAGGUGAAAUGCGUAGAUAUGCGGAGGAACACCGAUGGCGAAGGCAAUCCCCUGGGCCUGCACUGACGCUCAUGCACGAAAGCGUGGGGAGCGAAACAAGGA
rnacentral:rRNA from 1 species